GCUUGCUUUUUGCUGACGAGUGGCGAACGGGUGCGUAACGCGUAUGUAACCUACCUUCUUCUGAGGAAUAGCCCAGAGAAAUUUGGAUUAAAACCUCAUGAUAAUAUUUAUUCGCAUGUUUAAAUAUUUAAAAUUUCGGUGGAAGAAGAUGGGCAUGCGUAACAUUAGUUUGUUGGUGAGGUAAUGGCUCACCAAGACUACGAUGUUUAGGGGGUCUGAGAGGAUGAUCCCCCACACUGGUACUGAGACACGGACCAGACUCCUACGGGAGGCAGCAGUGAGGAAUAUUGGUCAAUGGACGAAAGUCUGAACCAGCCAUGCCGCGUGAAGGAUGACUGCCCUACGGGUUGUAAACUUCUUUUGUAUAGGAAGAAACCCCUCUACGUGUAGAGGGUUGACGGUACUAUUCGAAUAAGCACCGGCUAACUCCGUGCCAGCAGCCGCGGUAAUACGGAGGGUCCGAGCGUUAUCCGGAAUCAUUGGGUUUAAAGGGUCCGC
rnacentral:rRNA from 1 species